rnacentral:tRNA from 1 species
GCCAACACAGUUUAGUAAAAACAUUAGGUUGUGGACCUAAAGACAGGGGUUAAAACCCCCUUGUUGACC